rnacentral:rRNA from 1 species
GUAGGUGGCAAGCGUUGUCCGGAAUUAUUGGGCGUAAAGCGCGCGCAGGCGGGACCUUUAAGUCUGAUGUGAAAGCCCACGGGCUCAACCGUGGAGGGUCAUUGGAAACUGGGGGACUUGAGUACAGAAGAGGAAAGCGGAAUUCCAAGUGUAGCGGUGAAAUGCGUAGAGAUUUGGAGGAACACCAGUGGCGAAGGCGGCUUUCUGGUCUGUAACUGACGCUGAGGCGCGAAAGCGUGGGGAGCAAACAGGAUUAGAUACCCUGGUAGUCCACGCCGUAAACGAUGAGUGCUAAGUGUUAGGGGGUUUCCGCCCCUUAGUGCUGCAGCUAACGCAUUAAGCACUCCGCCUGGGGAGUACGGCCGCAAAGGCUG